rnacentral:rRNA from 1 species
GACGUAGGGAGCAAGCGUUGUCCGGAAUUACUGGGCGUAAAGAGCUCGUAGGCGGGAUCGUAAGUCUUUAGAGUAAAUCUCACGGCUCAACUGUGGGGGCCUUUCUGAGAUACUGCGAUUCUUGAGGAUGUCAGAGGAAAGUGGAAUUCCCGGUGUAGCGGUGAAAUGCGUAGAUAUCGGGAAGAACACCGAUGGCGAAGGCAGUUCUCUGGGCCGUAACUGACGCUGAGGAGCGAAAGCGUGGGGAGCGAACAGG